GACGAACGCUGGCGGCGCGCUUAACACAUGCAAGUCGAACGGAAAGGCCUGCUUUCCCUUGUGGAUUGCGGGUACUCGAGUGGCGAACGGGUGAGUAACACGUGAGUGAUCUGCCCCCAACUUGGGUAUAAGCCUGGGAAACUGGGUCUAAUUCCCGAUAGGACUGCAGGGUGGUGCCUGUGGUGGAAAACGAUUUUCUAGUGGUUGGGGAUGAGCUCGCGGCCUAUCAGCUUGUUGGUGGGGUAAUGGCCUACCAAGGCGGCGACGGGUAGCCGGCCUGAGAGGGUGGACGGCCACAUUGGGACUGAGAUACGGCCCAGACUCCUACGGGAGGCAGCAGUGGGGAAUAUUGCACAAUGGGCGGAAGCCUGAUGCAGCGACGCCGCGUGGGGGAUGACGGCCUUCGGGUUGUGAACUCCUUUCGACCGCGAGGAAGCCACCUGGUUGGAAGGGUGGUGACGGUAGUGGUAGAAGAAGCACCGGCUAACUACGUG
rnacentral:rRNA from 1 species